UACGGAGGGUGCAAGCGUUAUCCGGAUUUACUGGGUUUAAAGGGUGCGUAGGUGGGUCUGUAAGUCAGUGGUGAAAUCUCCGAGCUUAACUCGGAAACUGCCAUUGAUACUAUAGGUCUUGAAUUAUCUGGAGGUAAGCGGAAUAUGUCAUGUAGCGGUGAAAUGCUUAGAUAUGACAUAGAACACCAAGUGCGAAGGCAGCUUACUACGGAUAUAUUGACACUGAGGCACGAAAGCGUGGGGAUCAAACAGG
rnacentral:rRNA from 1 species